rnacentral:rRNA from 1 species
CCCAGACUCCUACGGGAGGCAGCAGUGGGGGAUAUUGCACAAUGGGGGAAACCCUGAUGCAGCGACGCCGCGUGAGUGAAGAAGUAUUUCGGUAUGUAAAGCUCUAUCAGCAGGGAAGAUAAUGACGGUACCUGAGUAAGAAGCCCCGGCUAACUACGUGCCAGCAGCCGCGGUAAUACGUAGGGGGCAAGCGUUAUCCGGAUUUACUGGGUGUAAAGGGAGCGUAGACGGCAUGGCAAGUCUGAAGUGAAAGCCCGGGGCUCAACCGCGGGACUGCUUUGGAAACUGUUAAGCUGGAGUGCAGGAGAGGUAAGUGGAAUUCCUAGUGUAGCGGUGAAAUGCGUAGAUAUUAGGAGGAACACCAGUGGCGAAGGCGGCUUACUGGACUGUAACUGACGUUGAGGCUCGAAAGCGUGGGGAGCAAACAGGAUUAGAUACCCUAGUAC